rnacentral:lncRNA from 1 species
GCAGGGAGCCCGGAGCCCCGCAGGAGGGCAGUGAGAACCGGCUCCGAGAUCCGGUCCCCCGCCCCCCGGCGGCCCGCACCCCGCUCACAGGGCCUGGGCGGAGCCUCUGCUGGGGCGGGAGCGGCUCGGCUGCCUCGAUUCCCUCAGUGUCCGUCCGUCUGUCCGUCUGUCCGGCGGGGAGGAACGUGCUGAGCGCUCGGCGACCCGCAGAGCCACCACCCGGGUCUCUGCUCCCUGUUGGGCUGUGAGUUCCCUAAAGGAAAUCACCUUUGGGUUCACAGAACCUGGCCCAGGCCUGGACCAUCAUUUCAGAUGGGAAGGAAUUCCACACAUCUGUAGAAGGAACUGUUCCUGCUCCUCACUCCGGCCCAGGGCCUGUGGACGCAACCCUGCGCGGUGUGCACAGUGGAGCGCCUCCAGGACCCUGCUCAUCUAUGUCCGGCAGGCGGUGAGGGAUGCGGCAGCUGCAAUGCAGGCAGGCAGGAGGGACCCUCGAGGAAAGUGAGCCCAGUUGGCGAGCCGGUGUUGGGCGCAGUGAGCGUCUCUGCGUGGUCAGCGGGACGUGAGCCGCAGAGCGGGCGGGAUCUGGCCAGGAGGCAGAGCCUCAGCCAGCCGGGAGCAGCCGCUGGCGGGCACCUCCUGCAUCCUGGCGCAGGACUCGGCUCCCUGGGAUUCUGGGCGCGGGCAGCUCUGCUCACCUCACCUGGCAGGCUCUGUCCAG